rnacentral:rRNA from 1 species
GAUAACGGCGUCGAGCGGCGGACGGGUGAGUAAUGCCUAGGAAAUUGCCCUGAUGUGGGGGAUAACCAUUGGAAACGAUGGCUAAUACCGCAUAAUGCCUACGGGCCAAAGAGGGGGACCUUCGGGCCUCUCGCGUCAGGAUAUGCCUAGGUGGGAUUAGCUAGUUGGUGAGGUAAGGGCUCACCAAGGCGACGAUCCCUAGCUGGUCUGAGAGGAUGAUCAGCCACACUGGAACUGAGACACGGUCCAGACUCCUACGGGAGGCAGCAGUGGGGAAUAUUGCACAAUGGGCGCAAGCCUGAUGCAGCCAUGCCGCGUGUGUGAAGAAGGCCUUCGGGUUGUAAAGCACUUUCAGUCGUGAGGAAGGUAGUGUAGUUAAUAGCUGCAUUAUUUGACGUUAGCGACAGAAGAAGCACCGGCUAACUCCGUGCCAGCAGCCGCGGUAAUACGGAGGGUGCGAGCGUUAAUCGGAAUUACUGGGCGUAAAGCGCAUGCAGGUGGUUUGUUAAGUCAGAU